AAUGAACGUUGGCGGCGUGGAUUAGGCAUGCAAGUCGUACGGGUCGGUGUAGCAAUACAACGGCAAGUGGCGAAAGGGAGAGUAACGCGUAGAUACCUACCCUCUGGUCGGGGAUACCGCGGCAUAACCGCAAGUAAUACCCGAUAAUAUCUCCGGAUCAAAGGUGUGAUUCCGCCGGAGGAGGGGUCUGCGUUUCAUCAGCUUGUUGGUGAGGUAAUGGCUCAUCAAGGCUAAGACGAAUACGGGGUGUGAGAGCAUGCCCCCGCUCACUGGGACUGAGACACUGCCCAGACACCUACGGGUGGCUGCAGUCGAGAAUCUUCGGCAAUGGGCGCAAGCCUGACCGAGCGACGCCGCGUGCGGGAUGAAGGCCUUCGGGUUGUAAACCGCUGUCGAGGGGGAUAAAGUGCAGGUGGGUACUCCCAUCUGUUUGAUAGAUCCCUGGAGGAAGCAUGGGCUAAGUUCGUGCCAGCCGCCGCAGUAAAAC
rnacentral:rRNA from 1 species